UUAAGCGACUAAGCGUACACGGUGGAUGCCCUGGCAGUCAGAGGCGAUGAAGGACGUGCUAAUCUGCGAAAAGCGUCGGUAAGGUGAUAUGAACCGUUAUAACCGGCGAUGUCCGAAUGGGGAAACCCAGUGUGAUUCGUCACACUAUCGUUAACUGAAUACAUAGGUUAACGAGGCGAACCGGGGGAACUGAAACAUCUAAGUACCCCGAGGAAAAGAAAUCAACCGAGAUUCCCCCAGUAGCGGCGAGCGAACGGGGAGCAGCCCAGAGUCUGAAUCAGCUUGUGUGUUAGUGGAACGGUCUGGAAAGUCCGACGGUACAGGGUGAUAGUCCCGUACACCAAAAUGCACAGGCUGUGAACUCGAAGAGUAGGGCGGGACACGUGGUAUCCUGUCUGAAUAUGGGGGGACCAUCCUCCAAGGCUAAAUACUCCUGACUGACCGAUAGUGAACCAGUACCGUGAGGGAAAGGCGAAAAGAACCCCGGCGAGGGGAGUGAAAAAGAACCUGAAACCGUGUACGUACAAGCAGUGGGAGCACCUUCGGGUGUGACUGCGUACCUUUUGUAUAAUGGGUCAGCGACUUAUAUUCUGUAGCAAGGUUAACCGUAUAGGGGAGCCGCAGGGAAACCGAGUCUUAACUGGGCGUUAAGUUGCAGGGUAUAGACCCGAAACCCGGUGAUCUAGCCAUGGGCAGGUUGAAGGUUGGGUAACACUAACUGGAGGACCGAACCGACUAAUGUUGAAAAAUUAGCGGAUGACUUGUGGCUGGGGGUGAAAGGCCAAUCAAACCGGGAGAUAGCUGGUUCUCCCCGAAAGCUAUUUAGGUAGCGCCUCGUGAAUUCAUCUUCGGGGGUAGAGCACUGUUUCGGCUAGGGGGUCAUCCCGACUUACCAACCCGAUGCAAACUACGAAUACCGAAGAAUGUUAUCACGGGAGACACACGGCGGGUGCUAACGUCCGUCGUGAAGAGGGAAACAACCCAGACCGCCAGCUAAGGUCCCAAAGUCAUGGUUAAGUGGGAAACGAUGUGGGAAGGCACAGACAGCCAGGAUGUUGGCUUAGAAGCAGCCAUCAUUUAAAGAAAGCGUAAUAGCUCACUGGUCGAGUCGGCCUGCGCGGAAGAUGUAACGGGGCUAAACCAUGCACCGAAGCUGCGGCAGCGACACUAUGUGUUGUUGGGUAGGGGAGCGUUCUGUAAGCCUGCGAAGGUGACCUGUGAGGGUUGCUGGAGGUAUCAGAAGUGCGAAUGCUGACAUAAGUAACGAUAAAGCGGGUGAAAAGCCCGCUCGCCGGAAGACCAAGGGUUCCUGUCCAACGUUAAUCGGGGCAGGGUGAGUCGACCCCUAAGGCGAGGCCGAAAGGCGUAGUCGAUGGGAAACAGGUUAAUAUUCCUGUACUUGGUGUUACUGCGAAGGGGGGACGGAGAAGGCUAUGUUAGCCGGGCGACGGUUGUCCCGGUUUAAGCAUGUAGGCUGGUUGUCCAGGCAAAUCCGGAUAAUCAAGGCUGAGGUGUGAUGACGAGGCACUACGGUGCUGAAGUAACAAAUGCCCUGCUUCCAGGAAAAGCCUCUAAGCAUCAGGUAACAUCAAAUCGUACCCCAAACCGACACAGGUGGUCAGGUAGAGAAUACCAAGGCGCUUGAGAGAACUCGGGUGAAGGAACUAGGCAAAAUGGUGCCGUAACUUCGGGAGAAGGCACGCUGGUGUGUAGGUGAAGUCCCUGCGGAUGGAGCUGAGACCAGUCGAAGAUACCAGCUGGCUGCAACUGUUUAUUAAAAACACAGCACUGUGCAAACACGAAAGUGGACGUAUACGGUGUGACGCCUGCCCGGUGCCGGAAGGUUAAUUGAUGGGGUUAUCCGUAAGGAGAAGCUCUUGAUCGAAGCCCCGGUAAACGGCGGCCGUAACUAUAACGGUCCUAAGGUAGCGAAAUUCCUUGUCGGGUAAGUUCCGACCUGCACGAAUGGCGUAAUGAUGGCCAGGCUGUCUCCACCCGAGACUCAGUGAAAUUGAACUCGCUGUGAAGAUGCAGUGUACCCGCGGCAAGACGGAAAGACCCCGUGAACCUUUACUAUAGCUUGACACUGAACAUUGAGCCUUGAUGUGUAGGAUAGGUGGGAGGCUUUGAAGCGUGGACGCCAGUCUGCGUGGAGCCAACCUUGAAAUACCACCCUUUAAUGUUUGAUGUUCUAACGUUGGCCCCU
rnacentral:rRNA from 1 species